UACGAGGGGGGCGAGCGUUGUUCGGAAUUAUUGGGCGUAAAGGGUGCGUAGGCGGUUUUGUAAGUCUUAUGUGAAAUCUAUGGGCUCAACUCAUAGACUGCAUGAGAAACUGCAGGGCUUGAGUAUGGGAGAGGUGAGUGGAAUUCCUGGUGUAGCGGUGAAAUGCGUAGAUAUCAGGAGGAACACCUGCGGUGUAGACGGCUUUCUGGACCAUUGUUGACGCUGAGACACGAAAGCGUGGGUAGCAAACAGG
rnacentral:rRNA from 1 species